UACGUAGGGGGCAAGCGUUGUCCGGAUUUAUUGGGCGUAAAGAGCGUGUAGGCGGCCAAGCAGGUCCGCUGUGAAAACUCGAGGCUCAACCUCGAGACGUCGGUGGAAACCGUUUGGCUAGAGUCCGGAAGAGGAGAGUGGAAUUCCCGGUGUAGCGGUGAAAUGCGCAGAUAUCGGGAAGAACACCCGUGGCGAAGGCGGCUCACUGGUCCGGUACUGACGCUGAGGUGCGAAAGCGUGGGGAGCAAACAGG
rnacentral:rRNA from 1 species